rnacentral:lncRNA from 1 species
CUUAAAAAUCAGUAAGAAUUGCAUAAUUUGAACAGUCGAAGAGUUUGCACAAAUCUUACCUUUUUAUAACUUCACAGAUCACAGUACAUAUAUCUCCUAAUCUUAAAACGAUGGGAAAAAAAUUCAUCAAUUUCAAAUUAAACUCCAAACAAGAAAAUUAAUUAGCAAGAGAUAUAGCCAAUAAAACCUUAACAUAUUUGUGCCUCAACAAAGCAAGUAGAGAUGGAGGUUUAGCAGAUCUGAAAGUGUAGAGGUGGCAGACUGCGGCAAUUGUAACACAAAUUUUGGUAUUGAACCAAGUUGGGAAUUGGAGUAUAGCCAGCGGCUUAGGGCGAAGUGACGAUCGUUACAAAGGCAGCAAGUAUGGGUGCAGCAGGUUGUAGAAUAAAAGUGAGUAUGAAAAUAGUGACGGAGUUGAGUUGAUCAAUUGUCUUUGCGCAAGCGAGUAGUUGUUUGGAGGUCGCAACUAUUUUUGAAAAUCUGAUUACGGUGGAGUCGGGUUGUCAUGGUGAGGUUAUUGGUGAUAUAAGGUGUGGCCGACGGUUUUGGUGUACUCGACGGUGGCAGACGGCUAUUUUGGGCUAAACUGUGGAAGUACGGGCAGUUGUAG